UACAGAGCAGGUAAAAGCUUCCCUG
rnacentral:piRNA from 1 species